CAAUUUACAGAAAUUGGGGUGGGGGUCUGUACGGCGCACGUCUUCCUAGUUCCCACCACCGUUGGUGCUCCCGGUUGCGGCCGCGGCCGCCGCCGCCAUGCCGCGAUUCUUGUAGCUGACCACCAAGCGCCGGUUAGGAAGCGUCGCAUCUUUUGUAGCGCCGCUAUCGAUCCCAUUCCCGUACCACUCUACACCAAAAUUGUUUCUCACCGUCGCCGUCCUGGCGGACUGUCUGCUUCAGCAAGGGGCCCUGCCGUAGUGCCGACCCGCGGCAGCUCGAUGCACCAGAUCCGCCUUCUCCUUGGUACUGGCAAAAGGAAUUCAGUGAGGAAGAAUGUACUACAGAAAGGAGACGAAAUAAAGAAGUAAAAGUGGAGAAUCCCGUUUGACGUCCGCAUUGUGUGCCACUGAAAGCAAAUUCUGGUUCAUACUCAUGAAUCCACCAACCGACAGUCAUUGCGGCAUUGUUGAGGAUCAUUUCUACUUGUUCCUUGAAUGUUGUAUAUGGCAUGAUAUCUGCCACUGGAAUUGGAAUAGUGCCAUUUGAGACUGCCUUGCAGUCCAACGGAAGAAUAGACAUAUCUGCACGAGCAUACACCAAAUAGAAAAAGUGUGUUGCGUUGCUAAGGCAAAAGAUUGGGCCAACUAUAUAAUCACCAUCAGUACUUGGUGUGAACUUUUUAAAACAGUGUACCGCAAAUCCACUA